rnacentral:rRNA from 1 species
CCUACGGGGGGCUGCAGUGGGGAAUAUUGGACAAUGGGGGCAACCCUGAUCCAGCCAUGCCGCGUGUGUGAAGAAGGCCCUCGGGUUGUAAAGCACUUUCAGUGAGGAAGAACGCCUGGUGGUUAAUACCCAUCAGGAAAGACAUCACUCACAGAAGAAGCACCGGCUAACUCCGUGCCAGCAGCCGCGGUAAUACGGAGGGUGCGAGCGUUAAUCGGAAUUACUGGGCGUAAAGCGCGCGUAGGUGGCUUGAUAAGCCGGUUGUGAAAGCCCCGGGCUCAACCUGGGAACGGCAUCCGGAACUGUCAAGCUAGAGUGCAGGAGAGGAAGGUAGAAUUCCCGGUGUAGCGGUGAAAUGCGUAGAGAUCGGGAGGAAUACCAGUGGCGAAGGCGGCCUUCUGGACUGACACUGACACUGAGGUGCGAAAGCGUGGGUAGCAAACAGGAUUAGAUACACGAGUAGUC